UGUGGUUCCAAGAAGAAGACGCAAGUUUUGGCUUGCAAUCAAGGUUUUUCAUUGUGUUUACUAAGAAGAUUGUGUGUGCAUCCAAGAAAAACCACAAGUCCAUUUCUAACUGUAACCACAAAUAUACUUCAAUGAUGUGUGGGUUUGUGCAACUGUGUGGUGGUGACCUAGAGAAUAAAGCUCUGGAUAUGAAAACAUCUGCCUGGUUUCUGCCGGACUGCCUGUAGUGGGUCAGACCAAAGUACAGCCAGCGUUAAGUCAUUAGCUGGUGAGGGUUCAGAAGCCAACCACUCAGAUGGCUCCAGCUGGAUGUUUUUAUACCCGGUUACUCGUUAACAAGGAUUUCUGGGAUCGUACACUCCCAAUUAUUGUGCAUGAACUUAAACUGACGUUUUCUGGUGUCUGAACUGCAUGACACUUGCACUUGGAAAGAGGAGACGUCAUAGCGUCACGUCAAUACACACCCAACCAACUAGCUAGUACCACUUACGUUGGGGCGGGAAUAUUUGAAUUGCAGUGUCAGUUAGCUAGAGAGAUCCCUAGAUCCGUAGACACCUCCGUAGAGAUCCACUCACUGCCUGUCCGCAACAUUAGCUGGGAUUUCAACGAGAAGACUUCAAGACUUUCAACAAAGUCGACAUCGAAGGACUUCAAAAGAACCAUGGUCUAGGCACAAUUUAUACAGUAGGUCUGACGUUAGUGUGGUGGUUGUACAUUUCAAUUCAUUUACUAGCUAGCUACUUUGUGUUAAGCAAGAGUUUAGGGGUUAGUUGUUGCAAGGUGCUUGAAUGCCUUAAAAAAUAAGCUGUUUAUCAAGGUAAUAAGACUUACGAGCACACUGUGUCCUAUUGCAGGGAAGUGAUGUUUUUUGUUUUUGUGAGUGUAGGGAAAAACUUGUGAUCGAUAUUGAAGCAUAGAGGUGUUUUAUGGAGACAUGAACAAUUAUUCUACUCAAUAUCCCUACACCCCAGUCUCCUGCUACCUCCCAGGGAGGAGGAAUACCCUGAACUCCCCGUUCUCACAGGACUCGGGCUAGUACGCUGUUGCCAGACAUGUUGGAUACAACACUGGGUCGUUGACCAGCAGUGGUUACCCUCCCCAGGACAUGUUGCCCUCCUGCUCCUCCUCUGCUGUCUCUUCCUCAGCCGGGGCAUGCAAAGCUCCCUGUUACCCAGAGGACCCCCAUGCACCUCCUCAAAACAGCUAUCACAUGGGUCGCCCACGUACCCCCCCUACUGCCCCCUUAUAUCCUAAUGAGUCCCAGGUCUAGCCCACAUAUGCGAUGCCACCCCCUUCACUCCAGGACGAGCAGCCCCCUCUGGCAGACAAAAUGAACUAUUUGUAGAACAUUGCAUAGGAAUCAAAAUCCUAUUUUUGUAACUUACUCUGGUUAUCGACCAAUGAUUUCCAUUUGCAUAGUUAUUUGUUCAAUUCUAGAAUUCACUUGCAGCAUUUGAAUACAUUUCUUCAAUUCCUGCUCUGAUUCAUCAGUCACACACUGUGUCAUGUUUCUUUUGUCUUACAGUGCCUUGCAAAAGUAUUCAUACCCCUUGGAUUUCUUCACAUUGUAUUGUUAAAAAGUGGGAUUAAAAUGGAUCACAAUUUAA